CUCAAAUGCUUCCUGGGACAGAUAACAUUAGCUGAGAGAGAGAGAGAGGGCAGCAUUACUGUAUUUCAUUAGUUGCAAUGUCUAAGAUGAGAGAUUCAUCAUACCUGCUCGUGAUAGAGGAAGACCACUGAUAUCUCUAGAUGCCCGAAACAUUGUAGAGAGGUAAGAGGAUGUUGUGAGGUUCAGGAGGGUUGUGAAGGUGUUUGUUGGGGAUGUUGUAGAGAGGUUUGGGAGGGUUGUGGAGGUGUUUGGCGAUGUUGUAGAGAGGUUUGGGAGGGUUGUGGAGGUGUUUGGGAAUGUUGUAGAGAGGUUUGGGAGGGUUGUGGAGGUGUUUGGGGAUGUUGUAGAGAGGUUUGGGAGGGUUGUGGAGGUGUAUCUUCCUUGAGUUACAUUCUUGCUCCUCUUUGUUUCAACCAGAAUGUCUUUACCAGAACAUGUCCCCUUGCAGAAGUAUUUGUUGUUGUUCCCUGCCCAAGUGAAUGAGCAGCCCACAGUGACUUGUCCUCCUACCACUUCCUUAUUGACAGCUGACACCACAA
rnacentral:lncRNA from 1 species